CCUACGGGUGGCAGCAGUGAGGAAUAUUGGUCAAUGGACGAGAGUCUGAACCAGCCAAGUAGCGUGAAGGAUGACUGCCCUAUGGGUUGUAAACUUCUUUUGUAGGGGAGUAAAAAGCGUCACGUGUGCCGUUUUGAAAGUACUAUAUGAAUAAGCAUCGGCUAACUCCGUGCCAGCAGCCGCGGUAAUACGGAGGAUCCGAGCGUUAUCCGGAUUUAUUGGGUUUAAAGGGUGCGUAGUUGGUAUUUUAAGUCAGUGGGAAAAUUUUGCGGCUAAACCUAAAAAAGCCAUUGAUACUGGGGGUCUAGAGAACAGGUGAGGUAGGCGGAAUGAGUGGAGUAGCGGUGAAAUGCAUAGAUAUAACGAAGAACCCCGAUUGCGAAGGCAGCUUACCAGACUGUGACUGACGCUGAUGCACGAGAGUGUGGGUAUCGAACAGGAUUAGAUACCCGAGUAGUC
rnacentral:rRNA from 1 species